GACGAACGCUGGCGGCGUGCUUAAUACAUGCAAGUCGAACGGAAAGACCCUGCUCUUGCUGGUUUCACGAGUGCCGAACGCGUGAGUAACACGCGAGUAACAUCUCCCUGUCAUUCUGAUAUCUUCACGAAACUGCGGCUAAUACCGCAUAUAAUCUACUGCUCCGUGUUGUGGAUUGGUAAGUUUCGGCGGUUGGGGAUGGACUCGCGGCUUAUCAGCUGCUUGGUGGGGUUGUGGAUUACCAAGGCUUUGACGGGUAGCCGGCCUGAGAGGCUGACCGGCGACAUUGGGCCUGAGAGACGGAGCAGAAUCGUACGGGAGGCAGCAGGGGGGAAUAUUGCAGAAUGAGCGGACGCCUGAUGCAGCAAUGCCGGGUGCGGGAUGACGGCCUUCUGGGUGUAAACCGAUUUCGACGGUGACGAAGCGUGAGUGACGGUAAUGGGUAAAGAAGCACCGGCUAACUACGUG
rnacentral:rRNA from 1 species